rnacentral:pre_miRNA from 1 species
UUUUUAGUAUAAGUAUGUCUUAGGCAAUGUUUGAAAUAUACUUAUACUUAAA